UCCGGUGGCGAAAGCGAUGGGGCCCCACCCGUUCCCAUUCCGAACACGGAAGUGAAACCUGUCAGCGCCGAUGGUACUUGGGGAGUAGUCCCCUGGGAGAGUAGGUCACUGCCGGGC
rnacentral:rRNA from 1 species